GGCUCAGAUUGAACGCUGGCGGCAGGCCUAACACAUGCAAGUCGAGCGGUAGAGAGGUGCUUGCAUCUCUUGAGAGCGGCGGACGGGUGAGUAAUGCCUAGGAAUCUGCCUAGUGGUGGGGGAUAACGUUCGGAAACGGACGCUAAUACCGCAUACGUCCUACGGGAGAAAGCGGGGGGAUCUUCGGACCUCGCGCCAUUAGAUGAGCCUAGGUCGGAUUAGCUAGUUGGUGAGGUAAUGGCUCACCAAGGCGACGAUCCGUAACUGGUCUGAGAGGAUGAUCAGUCACACUGGAACUGAGACACGGUCCAGACUCCUACGGGAGGCAGCAGUGGGGAAUAUUGGACAAUGGGCGAAAGCCUGAUCCAGCCAUGCCGCGUGUGUGAAGAAGGUCUUCGGAUUGUAAAGCACUUUAAGUUGGGAGGAAGGGUAGUAACCUAAUACGUUGCUACUUUGACGUUACCGACAGAAUAAGCACCGGCUAACUUCGUG
rnacentral:rRNA from 1 species